AGUGGACGCUGGCGGUAGGCCUAACACAUGCAAGUCGAACGGCAGCACAGGAGAGCUUGCUCUCUGGGUGGCGAGUGGCGGACGGGUGAGGAAUACAUCGGAAUCUACUCUGUCGUGGGGGAUAACGUAGGGAAACUUACGCUAAUACCGCAUACGACCUACGGGUGAAAGCAGGGGACCUUCGGGCCUUGCGCGAUUGAAUGAGCCGAUGUCGGAUUAGCUAGUUGGCGGGGUAAAGGCCCACCAAGGCGACGAUCCGUAGCUGGUCUGAGAGGCUGAGCAGCCCGACUGGAACUGAGACACGGACCAGACUGCUGCGGGAGGCAGCAGUGGGGAAUAUUGGACAAUGGGCGCAAGCCUGAUCCAGCCAUACGGCGUGGGUGAAGAAGGCCUUCGGGUUGUAAAGCCCUUUUGUUGGGAAAGAAAUCCAGCUGGCUAAUACCCGGUUGGGAUGACGGUACCCAAAGAAUAAGCACCGGCUAACUUCGUGCCAGCCGCCGCGGUAA
rnacentral:rRNA from 1 species